UACGGAGGGUGCGAGCGUUGUCCGGAAUCACUGGGCGUAAAGGGCGCGUAGGUGGCUUGGUAAGCGUGUGGUGAAAGCCUGGGGCUCAACCCCGGGUCGGCCAUGCGAACUGCCGAGCUUGAGCACUGUAGAGGCAGGCGGAAUUCCGGGUGUAGCGGUGGAAUGCGUAGAGAUCCGGAAGAACACCAGUGGCGAAGGCGGCCUGCUGGGCAGUUGCUGACACUGAGGCGCGACAGCGUGGGGAGCAAACAGG
rnacentral:rRNA from 2 species